AAUGACAGAGCGCCGAGCGGCCUUUCCUAAACCCGGUUACCAAAUGGUACGGGCAUGGGAGGGCAGCCGUGGUGAGUUAUCACCACCGGGUUGCAGCGAGAAAUCCUGUAGCCUCCCCUACCAAUUGGAAAGGUGUUCAAUGACAACAUUA
rnacentral:ncRNA from 2 species